rnacentral:rRNA from 1 species
CAAUAGCGUAUAUUAAAGUUGUUGCGGUAAAAAAGCUCGUAGUUGGAUUUCUACCGAAGAUAGCCGGUCGGGUCUUCGACCUUGUAUCCGGUUUUGUCUUUGGUAUCCUCAUAGGGAACGUUUCUGCGCUUUAUUGCGUGGUGCGGUAUCUAUGACUUUUACUUUGAGGAAAUUAGAGUGUUCACGGCAGGCAAACGCCUUGAAUAUAUUAGCAUGGAAUAAUAACAUAGGAUCUUCGUCCUAUUUUGUUGGUUUCUAGGGCUAAGAUAAUGAUUAAUAGGGAUAAUUGGGGGCAUCUGUAUCAACGCGUCAGAGGUGGAAUUCUUGGAUUGCGUUGCGACAAACUACUGCGAAAGCAUUUGCCAAGGAUGUUUUCAUUGA